UCGGAUAUGGUGUAACGGCUAACAUUGCCGCCUUUCACUUGCCUUGGCACCUGUCUACGCGGCAGCUCGGGGUUCGAUUCCCCGUAUCCGAA